rnacentral:rRNA from 1 species
CAGACUUUGAUCCUGGCUCAGGACGAACGCUGGCGGCGCGCCUAACACAUGCAAGUCGAACGAGCGAGAGAGAGUUUACUUUUUCGAGCGAGUGGCGAACGGGUGAGUAACGCGUGAGGAACCUGCCUCAAAGAGGGGGACAACAGUUGGAAACGACUGCUAAUACCGCAUAAGCCCACGACCCGGCAUCGGGUAGAGGGAAAAGGAGCAAUCCGCUUUGAGAUGGCCUCGCGUCCGAUUAGCUAGUUGGUGAGGUAAUGGCCCACCAAGGCGACGAUCGGUAGCCGGACUGAGAGGUUGAACGGCCACAUUGGGACUGAGACACGGCCCAGACUCCUACGGGAGGCAGCAGUGGGGAAUAUUGCACAAUGGGGGAAACCCUGAUGCAGCGACGCCGCGUGGAGGAAGAAGGUCUUCGGAUUGUAAACUCCUGUUGUUGAGGAAGAUAAUGACGGUACUCAACAAGGAAGUGACGGCUAACUACGUGCCAGCAGCCGCGGUAAAACGUAGGUCACAAGCGUUGUCCGGAAUUACUGGGUGUAAAGGGAGCGCAGGCGGGAAGACAAGUUGGAAGUGAAAUCCAUGGGCUCAACCCAUGAACUGCUUUCAAAACUGUUUUUCUUGAGUAGUGCAGAGGUAGGCGGAAUUCCCGGUGUAGCGGUGGAAUGCGUAGAUAUCGGGAGGAACACCAGUGGCGAAGGCGGCCUACUGGGCACCAACUGACGCUGAGGCUCGAAAGUGUGGGUAGCAAACAGGAUUAGAUACCCUGGUAGUCCACACUGUAAACGAUGAUUACUAGGUGUUGGAGGAUUGACCCCUUCAGUGCCGCAGUUAACACAAUAAGUAAUCCA